GCGCUCCCGCUGUUUGCUCGCUCGCGCGUGCGUGGAAGAGCGAAUUCAAAUACAAAGAAGUAACGGCUCCUUUCCUCAAAGAAACAACCGCUGCGCAAGCCGCGAUGCUUACGAGUCUAAUGCACUUUGUGGGACGAAAUGGAGACCACAAACACAAGAAAAUCCAGUAUGACUUCUCUAAAAAUCUCAAAAGGUUCACAGAGCAGCACUAUUCAAUAAAGAAAUGUGGCUCUGUAGUGGACACCUGUGAGGGAGUGGACAGACAGCUGCUGAUGUCUGAUGCUGGCUGGCAAUAAAUAGACUUCUCUGGAUGUACCCCAUCUUUUGCAGGUGUGUAAAUAAGUGAACGGUUGCAGACACACACCAGAAACCCUUCUAAAACAUACAAUUAUUUAUAGUUUAUUAACAGUUAUUUUAUUUUUUGUUUAUUUA